rnacentral:rRNA from 1 species
UGGGGAAUAUUGCACAAUGGGCGAAAGCCUGAUGCAGCAACGCCGCGUGAGUGAUGAAGGCCUUCGGGUUGUAAAGCUCUGUCUUUUGGGACGAUAAUGACGGUACCAAAGGAGGAAGCCACGGCUAACUACGUGCCAGCAGCCGCGGUAAUACGUAGGUGGCAAGCGUUGUCCGGAUUUACUGGGCGUAAAGGAUGCGUAGGCGGAUUUUUAAGUGAGAUGUGAAAUACCCGGGCUUAACUUGGGUGCUGCAUUUCAAACUGGGAAUCUAGAGUGCGGGAGAGGAGAAUGGAAUUCCUAGUGUAGCGGUGAAAUGCGUAGAGAUUAGGAAGAACACCAGUGGCGAAGGCGAUUCUCUGGACCGUAACUGACGCUGAGGCAUGAAAGCGAGGGUAGCAAACAGGAUUAGAUACCCUGGUAGUCCACGCCGUAAAACGAUGAGUACUAGGUGUAGGAGGUAUCGACCCCUUCUGUGCCGCAGUUAACACAAUAAGUACUCCGCCUGGGAAGUACGAUCGCAAGA